GUGUAAGGAUUUAAUGCUAAUAUCGCCACAUCCUGUGAAUGCUAAUAUCGCCACAUCCUGUGGC
rnacentral:sRNA from 1 species